GCAAAUUUGCAAAUUCUCCCACCAAGAAAUGUUUGGUGAGGACUUGGGCUGGAGAGGAGGCAUCUUAUGGCUUUGUGGAUGGCCUGAGCUGGUGGAGCCUGCUCCAGCCUGUGGAGACGUUCAGUAUCUUCAGGACUUUGCCUUUUCCUCAUGGUAGGUUUGCUGCAGAGCUGCCAUGGCCCAGAAUGACAGAAAUGGGCACGUACAUUUUCACGAGUCACUUUCCAACCUCUGUUGCCUUGGGAAGACAAAGAAGACGUGAAGUCCCACCUUGUCCAAUGAGCAAAUGCCUGUGCUUGGUCUUCUCCUCUGGAAUUUCAGCCAUUUGUCUCUGCUGUUCGUCUCUAUCCUGCUGACUGACUGUGGCCUGGUGCGCUGCCUGCAAUGUUUCUCUUGGGGCCAGAGACACGUUUCUCCUCACAGCUCGUUACGAGGAACUGUCAUAUCAUCUUCAGCCAUCUGAGAAAGUAUCCUCAGUAUCCUCAUCUCCUUGCUCGCAACUGACUUGCGAACAGCUUCCCUGUUGGGCUGGAUGGCGAAGGAUCCUGCAGCUCUCCUGCCUUAGCAUGGACACAUGAGAAAGAAAUCAGCCCUGAGUGCUUCACAGUAGGGAUGUAGAGCUGGAAGGGAUCCCCUAUUUUACCACGUCUCGUCCCUUGCUAUUGUCAGCAAUCGCAUAAUGCAAUCAUUCUCACAAACGCGAAGCUCCAAACAAUCCUAACAAGUUUUAAGAUUCUCCCACUACCCCAAUUAGUUGGCUAUUCCAGAACUUGACAGCUCUGAGGCUUCAGCCAUUCUUCUUAUUUCCAGUCUCAAUUUAUUCCUGGCUGGAGCAUGCCCACUUGUUCUCCUGCCAACAUUGUUCCCAAGCUUAAAUAGCUCUGCUCCCUCCCUGGUGCUCGUCCCUCUGAUGUGUUUACCAAGAACAAUCAUAUCCAUUCUCAGCCUGCGUUUUGCUGGGUGAAAUAAAUCAACGGGUUCCUAUCCUGUGAUAGGCACCCUUUUCCCCUGACCAUCCAGCUAGCCUUUGUCUGCACCUCCUCUGCUCUCAGCUCUUCUCUUUCCAGCACGGGUGGUGAGAACCACAGACCAUUCUCCACUAUCUGUGCCUGGGGCAGGGACUCAAGUAGCUCCGGGAUUUCUGAUGGUGCCCCGGAGACAGAAGGUCCAAGCAUGGGGCUUUUUAUAGGCACAAACUGCUUUUCCCAGUGGAUUUGGUUUUCAACCCCCUAGUGCUGUGGGAUGCAACCUUAUCUCGGGGUGGUUUUCUUGACACUGCUAUGGAGUCAGCGGUCCCGCUUGGCUCUGAAGCUAUUGUUGCUCAGCUUUCUAUAAAACAUGCAAUGCUUGCUUGCAGAACCGUAGGUAUAAAGUUACUCUUGAGGUUUUGACUCAUUUGGUGGCACUGGCUGUUAAAGCUGGGUCUCCGAUUUCCCAGUGUAGUGAGGCACCCUGAGUCGUAUCACUGGAUAGCUUUAGCAGAAGGUUUUGUUUAUCCUUCUUUUUAUUUUUUUAUUUUUUACAGAGCAAUAGGUCCGCAUACUUUAUUUUUUUUCUCCCUGCGAUGCUUUCCUGGACAGUCUGAAUUCCUGUCAACAGGAUAUUGAGAGGCCCAGAUAAAAUUAUAUAAGUGUGUGUGUGCUUCUCACAUAAUUUACUAUGUAUCUGACCCUCUACCUCUCCUAUAACACUUCAUUUUUUCCUCUUGUGAAAGGUGUGCAGAGUGGAGAUGACAGAUUUUAGGCUGGGAUACUCUGCAGCAGAAAGAAACAAAUAGAUCUACUUUUCAGUUAAGCCAAACCUGGGCUUCAGGGAGGAAAAAAAAAAAAAAAAAAGGAAGAAAAAAGAAAAAAGCCAAUUUCAGCUUCUCAAAGUGUAGGAAUUCAGCCAUGCUCCUCAUUACUGUACUCUGUGGCUCAUCCUUUACACACAGGGUACUCUCCUAGUACCAUGCCUUUUAGAUUUGAGGAAGGCAAGCAGUUGUGCAAGUGCAUUGCAGUAUUAUUUUAGGAGCUGGAGUUAGAAGUGACUAGCUGAAAGGGAGAUGUGCACAGGCUACAGUCCUCGGGGUGCAAAGUCUGCCUCUGGGUGCCUCUCACCAGCUCGUAGUUGUGUUUUCUUACGUGCUGUUAUAAGGGUGCCGUAAAGAAAUCUGAGUUUUGCCCUGUAUAUCUCAUUUUUGGUGUGCAGUAGGCUUUUCUGGAUAUGUUGUCAGGACUGUGAAUUCAUGCAGGUGUUUUACUGUGACCCUGGAGGUUCAGAAAUAACAGUGCCUGACGCUGGCAGAGAGGUGCUGAAAGGCACUGCACCCUUUCUGCCGCCUAAGAGGCUCUGGAUCACAGAAGUCUGCCCUUACUGAUAGCUGUCCAUCACCUUCAUUCACUUCAGUUUUGUACAUCUGUAACACCACUGCUUGUGUCUUGUCAGAAUCCUAUAUUCUGAAUAUUGGGACCCAAGAUCUCAGCAAAUACUCAGCAAUGUAGAAGCAGUGCAGCACGGAGAUCUGCCUCCUGGUGAAUUGGCUUUACACUUGAGGAAAUGGACUCUGUAAGCAAGCACCCAUGGGAUAAAUUAAUCUGGGUUCUCCCUGGUGCUACACAACUCCAGGUUUUGCACCUUCUGUCUGCACAGGGAGGCUGAGGUAAAACAGGAAACAACUACUCAAAAACCUGAAUCUUUUUCUCCCCUGAAGUCUUUUGUUCCUGAAGCCAAAGCACAGUAAAUCAAGGGGUUCUGCCUGAUAGGCAAUUAAAGUGGUCUUUAAAAAAAAAAAAAACACAACCCCAAAAACUACCAACUCCCCAAGUCCCAGAAAGGAAGAGGAGGAGGAGGAAAAGAUGGGACCUCAGAGAGGCUUCAUAAAUCACGUUGCAAUGGACCUGGUGCAGAUGUUCCUGCACUCAGCCCACCAGGCAUAGCGCAGCACCAUAAUGGGACUGAACAGCCACAUGUGAAAGCAGACAGAAGACAGCUGACUUGGAGGAGACGUGCUCUCUCUGGCACAUAUAACACAUGCUCGGUCCCUGCCCUGGCCUCCCUCGGUCCCUCCUGCCAAAAAAUAAACAAGCCAGAUCAAACCUGUCAUGGUCUGGAAGUCUUCAGCUAUCCCUUUUAU